rnacentral:rRNA from 1 species
AGAAGUGAGAAUGCCGGUGUGAGUAGCGAAAGACGGGUGAGAAUCCCGUCCACCGAUUGACUAAGGUUUCCAGAGGAAGGCUCGUCCGCUCUGGGUUAGUCGGGUCCUAAGCUGAGGCCGACAGGCGUAGGCGAUGGAUAACAGGUUGAUAUUCCUGUACCACCAUUAUUCGUUUUAAGCGAUGGGGGGACGCAGUAGGAUAGGCGAAGCGUGCUGUUGGAGUGCACGUCCAAGCAGUGAGAUUGAGUGUUAGGCAAAUCCGGCACUCUUAAGAUUGAGCUGUGAUGGGGAGAGGAACUUGUUCCUCGAGUCGUUGAUUUCACACUGCCGAGAAAAGCCUCUAGCUAGAAUAACGGUGCCCGUACCGCAAACCGACACAGGUAGUCAAGAUGAGAAUUCUAAGGUGAGCGAGCGAACUCUCGUUAAGGAACUCGGCAAAAUGACCCCGUAACUUCGGGAGAAGGGGUGCUCUUUGAGGUUCACGCUUCGAAGAGCCGCAGUGAAUAGGCCCAAGCGACUGUUUAUCAAAAACACAGGUCUCUGCUAAACCGUAAGGUGACGUAUAGGGGCUGACGCCUGCCCGGUGCUGGAAGGUUAAGAGGAGUGGUUAGCGCAAGCGAAGCUACGAAUCGAAGCCCCAGUAAACGGCGGCCGUAACUAUAACGGUCCUAAGGUAGCGAAAUUCCUUGUCGGGUAAGUUCCGACCCGCACGAAAGGCGUAACGAUUUGGGCACUGUCUCAACGAGAGACUCGGUGAAAUCAUAGUACCGGUGAAGAUGCCGGUUACCCGCGACAGGACGGAAAGACCCCGUGGAGCUUUACUGUAGCCUGAUAUUGAAAUUCGGUACAGUUUGUACAGGAUAGGUAGGAGCCUUAGAAGCGUGAGCGCUAGCUUACGUGGAGGCAUUGGUGGGAUACUACCCUAAUUGUAUUGGAUUUCUAACCCGCAGCACUUAUCGUGCUGGGAGACAGUGUCAGGCGGGCAGUUUGACUGGGGCGGUCGCCUCCUAAAGAGUAACGGAGGCGCUCAAAGGUUCCCUCAGAAUGGUUGGAAAUCAUUCAUAGAGUGUAAAGGCAUAAGGGAGCUUGACUGCGAGACCUACAAGUCGAGCAGGGUCGAAAGACGGACUUAGUGAUCCGGUGGUUCCGCAUGGAAGGGCCAUCGCUCAACGGAUAAAAGCUACCCCGGGGAUAACAGGCUUAUCUCCCCCAAGAGUUCACAUCGACGGGGAGGUUUGGCACCUCGAUGUCGGCUCAUCGCAUCCUGGGGCUGUAGUCGGUCCCAAGGGUUGGGCUGUUCGCCCAUUAAAGCGGUACGCGAGCUGGGUUCAGAACGUCGUGAGACAGUUCGGUCCCUAUCCGUCGUGGGCGUAGGAAAUUUGAGAGGAGCUGUCCUUAGUACGAGAGGACCGGGAUGGACAUACCUCUGGUGUACCAGUUGUCGUGCCAACGGCAUAGCUGGGUAGCUAUGUAUGGACGGGAUAAGUGCUGAAAGCAUCUAAGCAUGAAGCCCCCCUCGAGAUGAGAUUUCCCAACUUCGGUUAUAAGAUCCCUCAAAGAUGAUGAGGUGAAUAGGUUCGAGGUGGAAGCGUAGCGAUACGUGGAGCUGACGAAUACUA